CAUGGUAGUUUGAUCUUGAUCACAUUCAUCACAUUUCGUGAUAGGGAUAUACUGAAAGG
rnacentral:pre_miRNA from 1 species